CCUGAUGACCAUAGCGAGGUGGUACCACUCCUUCCCAUCCCGAACAGGACAGUGAAACGCCUCCGCGCCGAUGAUAGUGCGGGUUCCCGUGUGAAAGUAGGUCAUCGUCAGGCUCCUACAGCCCGUAAUGCCCCCGACUCCCAGAAGGAGCGGGGGCAUUGCCUUUUGCGGGGAGCCA
rnacentral:rRNA from 1 species